UGAUAUUGAAAGAGGAAAUGGGGAAUAAGACAAGUGCAUAAUAAACACUAGGAAAGAGGCACAUAUAAAGUGAUCCUGGGGUUGGAUGAGGAAGAGAUCAUAUACAAAUGGAGAGAUUAAGGAAGGUUUAAUGGAGAAGGUGACGUUUGAGGUAGGCCUAGAAGAACAUUUGUAAUUUAGGCUGGUGGGAAUGGUGUUGCAAGUACUAUUGGCUUUGGGAACAGCAUAAGCAGAGGCAUGGAAGUGGGAAACUGAAAGGAAUUUUGGGGGAAAUGAAUAAUAAUUUCUUAAAAUAACAAUCACUCCUCGUAAGAAUUUAGGUUAAUAAAUAUACCAACCUGCCACAGUAAGUUUUCCAGAUGUCAUAUUUUCUCCCGCGUAAAAUGUGUAUUUUCCUUCAUCAUCUUUCAUCAUAUUUAGAACUGUCAAUUUAUAUAUUUUUCCAUGUGCUUCAAUUUUAUAUUUAGAACUGGGCUUGAUUUCCUUGUCCUUAAAAUUCCACAGGACAUCAAUUCCAGAGUGGGACAGCUCAACCUCAAACACCACAUUUUGAGUUUCUGUACAGGUUGUCUUUUUCCCGUCGAUGACAAAGCUGUAUUCUCCCUGGUCCUCCUUGGUUACAUCCUUGACCGUGAGGUUCUGACGUCCACGACGAGAUGUAAUUGUAUAUUUGCCAUUGGAUUUAAGCUCCACAUCAUUAUGAUACCAUUUUCCUUCUAUAUUUUCUGGGGAUACAAUGCACUCUAAUUCUCCUGAAUAUGAUUCUGGAACUUCUAUGUCCUGAAGUUCUUUCACAAACUCAACAACUGCACCUGAAGUGUAUAACAGAAAGAUAAAUCAAUUUUUUUGGAGAGGUGCAACAUACCAUGAAGAUUAAGGAAACUUAGCAACAGUGAACUUGGACCUUCUAAUAGCUGUCUAA
ensembl:lncRNA TTN-AS1 TTN antisense RNA 1